UCCGAGCCUGCAGCCACAGUCUACGCCCUUGUGGGCGAAGGGAAGCAGCUGAAUGUCCUGCCCCAGGAGCCCAACCCUGAUGCCAACGGACUCACCUACGCCGAGCUGGACGGCCAGGUGCUGCAGGCCAAGCAGGGGGAGCCGGCCCCUGCCCCCGAGCCUGCCCUGUACGCCACCAUCAACGUGAGCCAGGGGCCCGACGGGCAGAGCCCCCAGGGUGCAGAGACGACCCCCAUCGACCCCCCUAUCGUGAACCCAGGAGGAGUCAUUGGAGAGACGGGGCAGGGAGCAUCGGCCACUACAGGGUGACAGAGUGAUUUCCCCCCCCAAUAAUGGGCUUGGCUUAUAGCUCCCCCAUAGCCCUCCCUCCAGCUGGUGCUGCCCCACCCAGCCCCACAGGUGGGGGGCCAGGAGGGCUCAGCAUAGGGUGACCAGAUGUCCCAAUUUUAUAGGGACAGUCCUGAUUUUUGGGUCUUUUUCUUAUAUAGGCUCCUAUUACCCCCCAGCCCCUGUCCCCAUUUUUCACAUUUGCUGUCUGGUCAUCCUAGCUUAGCACCAGGAGGGGGAGGGGACACGCUGAGGCAGCUGUUUGUGUUGUUUUGCAUCCUGUUCAUCUCCAGAUUUGUAAUAAACACAGAAC